rnacentral:rRNA from 1 species
UACGAAGGGGGCUAGCGUUGCUCGGAAUCACUGGGCGUAAAGCGCACGUAGGCGGAUCGUUAAGUCGGAGGUGAAGUCCUGGAGCUCAACUCCAGAACUGCCUUCGAUACUGGCGAUCUUGGAGUCCGGGAGAGGUGAGUGGAACUCCGAGUGUAGAGGUGAAAUUCGUAGAUAUUCGCAAGAACACCAGUGGCGAAGGCGGCUCACUGGCCCGGUACUGACGCUGAGGUGCGAAAGCGUGGGGAGCAAACAGG